UACGUAGGCAGCGAGCGUUGUUCGGAAUUACUGGGCGUAAAGAGGGUGUAGGCGGUGCUCCCAGUCUGUUGUGAAAUCUCCCGGCUUAACUGGGAGGGUGCAGCGGAAACUAGAGUGCUAGAGGGUGGGAGAGGUAAGCGGAAUUCCUGGUGUAGCGGUGAAAUGCGUAGAUAUCGGGAGGAACACCAGUGGCGAAGGCGGCGACCUGGACGGACACUGACGCUGAGACGCGAAAGCGUGGGGAGCAAACAGG
rnacentral:rRNA from 1 species